AACUUUCAGCAAUGUGUCUCGUGGCUCUCGCGUCGAUUAAGAACGCAGCGAAAUGCGAUAAGUAAUGUGAAUUGCAGAAUUCAGUGAAUCAUCGAAUCUUUGAACGCACCUUGCGCUCCUUGGUAUUCCGAGGAGCAUGCCUGUUUGAGUGUCAUUAAUAUAUAUCAACCUCUCUCUUGUUGAGUGGUUUGGAUGUGGGGGGUUUGCUGGCCUGUUCAGCUCCUCUGAAAUAUAUUAGCAGAACAAACCUGUUCAUUGGUGUGAUAACUAUCUACGCUAUUGAAUGUGAGGUGCAGUUCAGCUUUCUAACAGUCCUUGGACAAUUUAUCAUUUAUGUGACCUCAAAUCAGGUAGGACUACCCGCUGAACUUAAGCAUAUCAAUAAGCGGAGGCU
rnacentral:misc_RNA from 1 species